UACGUAGGGGGCAAGCGUUGUCCGGAUUUAUUGGGCGUAAAGAGCGUGUAGGCGGCCAAGCAGGUCCGCUGUGAAAACUCGAGGCUCAACCUCGCGCCUGCAGUGGGUACGGGCAGACUAGAGUGCGGUAGGGGGAGAUUGGAAUUCCUGGUGUAGCGGUGAAAUGCGCAGAUAUCAGGAGGAACACCGAUGGCGAAGGCAGGUCUCUGGGCAUUAACUGACGCUGAGGAGCGAAAGCAUGGGGAGCGAACAGG
rnacentral:rRNA from 1 species